ACCUCGGUAGUGUAGUGGUAACACGAGUCCCUGGUCUGGAGGGAACGCGGAUUCGACUCCCGUCUGAGGUU